rnacentral:lncRNA from 1 species
ACUAGAAGAAUGACAAAAGUUUGCACCUGUGGGGAUGUCAGUGGUACCCACCUCACCCUUGCCCUCUUCUGCACAGGGAUGGGAAUGGCAAGGUUUAGCCGUGUGGCAGGUAGCCAGUUGAAGCCUGACCCACACACAGCAGGCCCUACUCCAAACAGCUAUUUCCUGGAUAGAUGUGAUGUUCUGCUAUCUCACCAAAUAGAUACCUGAAAAAUGAGACCACAUGACAGUGCUUUGAUGAAGUUCAAGAGACCGAUGAUCAGGUUUAGCAUUUUAUUAUGAAUGGAUUGUCAUAAAGUUCCAUAGUGUGCAUUCACUUAAGGCAGCACUGUGUGGCUUUAGUUUUUAUCACCGAGGAUGAAAAACAAAUCCCUAUUCUAACUCUGAUGGGGUGGGAAGGGGGCUUAACAAAAGGUGGUCACUUUCUUUAGCCCUGUGUGAGCCCCCUACUUUGCUUUCAGGGUUCCUAUAUGAGAUCUCCCUGGUCUGCUGGGACUGUUCCAGGUAACCUGGAGAACAGUGUGGUGCAUUUGGUUUGAGAGGGGCCAGUGACAUGCUUAGACCAGGGCACCAUUCCCACACCAUCAAGGCUAAGAAAAGAGCAGACGUUCACUGUAGCAUCUUAUGGCUCCCUAUUCGUUGAUCUCUUCUUCAUCCUCGUCUUCAAAUGCCUCUUCCCCAUCAUUGACCGUGGCGUCCUGGUACUGCUGGUACUCGGACACCAGGUCAUUCAUGUUACUCUCGGCCUCGGUGAACUCCAUCUCGUCCAUGCCCUCACCGGUGAACCAGUGCAGGAAGGCCUUGCGGCGGAACAUGGCCGAGAACUGCUCGGAGAUGCGCUUGAAUAGCUCCUGGAUGGCAGUGCUAUUGCCAAUGAAGGUGGAGGCCAUCUUCAGGCCCCGUGGUGGGAUGUCGCACACAGCUACCUUGACAUUGUUGGGGAUCCACUCCACAAAGUAGCUGCUGUUCUUGUUCUGGAUGGCCAGCAUCUGCUCGUCCACCUCCUUCAUGGACAUGGGGCCCCGGAAGACAGUGGCGACGGUCAGGUAGCGGCCAUGGCGUGGGUCACAGGCAGCCAUCAUGUUCUUGGCAUCGAACAUCUGCUGUGUGAGCUCAGGCACUGUCAGGGCACGGUACUGCUGACUGCCCCGGGCUGUGAGGGGGGCAAAGCCGGGCAUGAAGAAGUGGAGACGUGGGAAUGGCACCAUGUUCACAGCCAGCUUGCGCAGGUCGGCGUUGAGUUGGCCAGGGAAACGCAGUGAUGUGGUGACACCGCUCAUGGUGGCGGAUACCAAGUGGUUGAGGUCCCCGUAAGUGGGUGUGGUCAGCUUGAGCGUGCGGAAGCAGAUGUCAUAGAGGGCCUCGUUGUCGAUGCAGUAGGUCUCGUCGGUGUUCUCUACCAGCUGGUGCACUGACAAUGUGGCGUUGUAGGGCUCCACCACGGUGUCUGAGACCUUGGGUGACGGCAUGACGCUGAAGGUGUUCAUGAUGCGGUCCGGGUACUCCUCUCGGAUCUUGCUGAUGAGCAGUGUGCCCAUGCCUGAGCCCGUGCCACCGCCCAGCGAGUGGGUGAGCUGGAAGCCCUGAAGACAGUCGCAAUGCUCACACUCCUUGCGCACCACAUCCAGCACCGAAUCCACCAGCUCCGCGCCCUCCGUGUAGUGACCCUUGGCCCAGUUGUUUCCGGCACCCGUCUGUCCUGCAAGGCAGCAAAAUUCCAAAGGGAAUAUCAGUGACCUGCUUUCUCCCAUCAGUAUUUUUUUUUUCAGUGAAAGAGACCCGGAGCAAAGGACCAGGAACCAGGCUGUAACAGGUACCCAUCACGGUGCCUAGAAGGCAGGUGAGCAAGCACUUCUUCAGACAGGCCAACUAUACAUCCAGGGACCGGGGUCCUGUUCAUUAAAAGAGUACACUUUAUACUCUGAGGCCCUGAUUCACCUGGAAUCAACCUUAGGGCAUUAUAUUAAACAAUAUAAAAAUUUAAGAU